CUUAAAUUGAAGAGUUUGAUCAUGGCUCAGAUUGAACGCUGGCGGCAGGCCUAACACAUGCAAGUCGAGC
rnacentral:rRNA from 2 species